AUUGAACGCUGGCGGCAUGCCUUACACAUGCAAGUCGGACGGCAGCAUGGGUGCUUGCACCUGAUGGCGAGUGGCGAACGGGUGAGUAAUGCAUCGGAACGUACCCGGAAGUGGGGGAUAACGUAGCGAAAGUUACGCUAAUACCGCAUAUUCUGUGAGCAGGAAAGUGGGGGAUCGCAAGACCUCGCGCUUCCGGAGCGGCCGAUGUCGGAUUAGCUAGUUGGCGGGGUAAAGGCCCACCAAGGCAACGAUCCGUAGCGGGUCUGAGAGGAUGAUCCGCCACACUGGGACUGAGACACGGCCCAGACUCCUACGGGAGGCAGCAGUGGGGAAUUUUGGACAAUGGGGGCAACCCUGAUCCAGCCAUGCCGCGUGAGUGAAGAAGGCCUUCGGGUUGUAAAGCUCUUUCGGCCGGGAAGAAAUCGCACAGGUUAAUACCUUGUGUGGAUGACGGUACCGGAAUAAGAAGCACCGGCUAACUACGUGCCAGCCGCCGCGGUAACAC
rnacentral:rRNA from 1 species